GACGAACGCUGGCGGCGUGCCUGACACAUGCAAGUCGGACGGUUCUUGCACCUUCAAGCUUGCUUGUUGGUUCAAGGAUAGUGGCGGACGGGUGAGUAACGCGUGAACACCUACCCAUUGGAGGGGUACAACCCGUCGAAAGGCGGGCUAAUACCGCGUAAGCCGUGAGGUGAAAGGCUGCUCUUUGGUGGCUGCCGAUGGAUGGGUUCGCGUCCUAUCAGCUGGUUGGUGGGGUAACGGCCUACCAAGGCUAAGACGGGUAGCCGGUCUGAGAGGAUGGCCGGCCACACUGGAACUGAGACACGGUCCAGACUCCUACGGGAGGCAGCAGUGGGGAAUCUUGGGCAAGUGGGGGAGACCCUGACCCAGCGACGCCGCGUGAGGGAUGAAGGUUUUCGGAUCGUAAACCUCUGUUGUACGGGAAGAAGGAUGUGACGGUACCGUACGAGUAACGCCCCGGACAAACUACGUG
rnacentral:rRNA from 1 species